UGGCGUCCUGCCUCACGAGCGAAGGGCGGCCGGGGCGAAGCUACAGGGACGUCGCUUCGAGGUUCGCGGCGACAGGAGGUCGCGUCGAACCGACCCCGAUCAGCCGGCUUUCGCUCGUGAGGCCGGUAGCCU
rfam:Halothiobacillus sp. XI15 contig_13, whole genome shotgun sequence.